UACAGAGGUCUCAAGCGUUGUUCGGAUUCAUUGGGCGUAAAGGGUGCGUAGGUGGCGCCGUAAGUCAGGUGUGAAAUUUCGGAGCUUAACUCCGAAACUGCAUUUGAUACUGCGGUGCCUGAGGACUGGAGAGGAGACUGGAAUUCACGGUGUAGCAGUGAAAUGCGUAGAUAUCGUGAGGAAGACCAGUGGCGAAGGCGGGUCUCUGGACAGUUCCUGACACUGAGGCACGAAGGCCAGGGGAGCAAACGGG
rnacentral:rRNA from 1 species